UAGGAAUGCUGAAGUUUGAGACACUUUGGCCAGAGUCCUGAUCUCUUCUGCUGGUCACAGGAUAUAAACUGCAGCUGGGAGACAAGCUCCAGAACCCUCCUGCAAGAGAAGCGCUGCAGCUGUAGAAUAGUAUUAGACAAAAAGGAGGCAAUGAGGACACUUCUGGUGCUACUACUCCUGACUCUGGCCCUGGCAGCUUUCUGCUCUUGUGAAAGAGAUUCAAAGGACUCCCUGAAAUCACAUGAUGCAGCAGGUAUCAAGGUAAAAAGAGAAACUGCCAAUGCCUUUAUGAAGAGGCAGAAGAGGUCCUACCCCUAUUAUGAAAGGUACUAUGAACGGCACAAAUCCCCAAUGGAGCUGAGGAAGGAACAGUGUGAAAACUACGCCCCCUGUGACUACCUCUCUGAACAAAUGGGAUUUUAUGUCGCUUAUCAGCGUUUCUUUGGGAGAUUCUGAAGAAGAGACUGUCCCUUCCCUCACUUGGCUGGGGUCCAGCCUGAUUUCCAUAAAGAGUGGGGUAGGGGAAGGAGGGAAGGAAGGAAAAGAGAGAGGUAAAUUGGGCCCACUUGAAUUCUGCUUAGCAUUGAUCAGAGCAAAAUAGCAAAAUGAACCCAACGUGUCCAUUUUCCAUUACGAGACUGCUGAACACUAGUUGCAACCCUUUUACCCUCCUCCACUCCGGCCUACCAUAGUAUUCUGAGCUUUUUCAGAGAAAGGAAAGUGAGGAGAUUCCUUGGCAGGAAAGUUCCAGAGCAAGUUUAGCCAAAAGAGAAGAUUCUUCUGAAGAAACUCAAAAUAUGACAAAGGGUGGCAGCAAGACCUUUUGGGCUCUCCCCCCGCUCCACCCCCCACAAAAAAAUACAAGGAGAGGAGUGAAUAAUAAAUGAAAUGCAGCGGGGUAUGUGUGUAAUGUUUGCUGUGGAGAACAGUGAUCCUCAUGCCCCUAAUAGAAAGGGACUGCUCCUGCUGCUUUCUG